UUAACAGCUGGGUGCUGAGUCUGUUGGCAGUUGGACAGUGGCCAUCUUAGGAGGAUGGGUAGAGUAGAACAGCACCUUUGAGCAGAAGAGGCUGAGGUGUACCUAACCUGAUUUGUUGGUGUCCCCGGGAACGGAGGAGGCUCCUAAUCUAACAGGCACAAAGGUGGCUCCUCCUCUAGCAAGGCAGCCGGCGAACAGUAAGGAGGAAGAGAGGCACCUUAUCAGAGUCCAGCAGCCGACAGAGAGAGUCUAAGGAGUGAAUGCAGCCUGGCUAAACGCUUUGAGACUUUGACAGGGAAAGGAUUAAGAAUACUUUCUGUGUUGUAGCUGGCAUGCUCUGGGACAGUUAACAGCCGGGUUCUAAGUCAGUUGGCAGUUGGACGGCGACGAUCUUAGGAGGAUGGGUAGAGUGGAACAGCACCUUGGAGCAGAUGUGGCAGAGGUGUACCUAACCUGCUUUGGUGCUGUCCCCGGGACUGGAGGAGGCUCCUAAUCUGACAGGCACAAAGGAGGUCCCUCUUCUAGCAAGGCAGAAUAACACUAGACACCUUUGUGCAGAAACAGACAGUCCGAUAUCACAUGCUGCAGUUUCCUCAGUGCACAGCCAGAACUUUGUAGUGCAGUAAGGAACAAUACUGUCAUAGUUACACAGAAAGCUUAAAAGGAUUCAGGUCUCCAUAUCACAGGGACCUGCAGCGGAUGUUGUACUCUGUCUCAGACAGAGAGUAAAUGUAACCAUUGAGCACAGCAACCUUUUUGGAGCACAGGUCAGUAGCCCUGUUUCACAAACUACACACCACAAGCCCUUCCAGUGAUUGAGUGCUCAUAGCAAGGACAGACACACCUCAGCUGCUUACUGUAUACUGUGUUUAAUGACGAGUCAGGACCAAGUGCCCCAGUUGUAAGCAGUUAUUGCCUGACACAGCAGCGUGUAUAUUGCAGAGAGCUUCCAUUAUUGGAAUAGUACCUACAAUCACCUAAUAUAAUAUUCAGCUAAGCAUUGCUACAGUUACAGUGCCGAGUAAUGAGAUUUUUCAAAGACUAGCAAGAUAAUAUAGUAUAAAAAGUUUUAUGAAUUGCAGGUCCACAUAUAUUAUAUAUGUUUUACAGUGUAUAAGUGGACUACAAUAUGUGGGACGCACCACUCGGGCGCUCCACAUAAGAUUCAUGGAACAUAAGCGUCAAAUAGAUAAAAAAAUAGGAAAUACUCAUCUUUAUCGGCAUAUUAUAGGAUGUGGGGAAGGAAAGAGUGAAAACAUCAAGAUUACUGCAAUAGAACAGGUGGCGGUGACAAAUAGAGGAGGAGAUAGAUAUAGACGGUUAUGUAAGAAGGAAGCCUUCUGGAUAUUUAAUCUUAAAACUCUGAUCCCGCAGGGACUUAAUGAUUCGGUGGAGCUUAAUAAAAUAUAACAUAUGAAAAUAA